GUGUCCGUGAUGCAACUGGCAGACAUCUUCGGCUAAGAACCGAAGUUUUAAGGGUUCGAAUCCCUUCGGGCGCACCA
rnacentral:tRNA from 1 species